GGUAGUCCACGCCGUAAACGAUGUCGACUUGGAGGUUGUGCCCUUGAGGCGUGGCUUCCGGAGCUAACGCGUUAAGUCGACCGCCUGGGGAGUACGGCCGCAAGGUUAAAACUCAAAUGAAUUGACGGGGGCCCGCACAAGCGGUGGAGCAUGUGGUUUAAUUCGAUGCAACGCGAAGAACCUUACCUACUCUUGACAUCCAGAGAACUUAGCAGAGAUGCUUUGGUGCCUUCGGGAACUCUGAGACAGGUGCUGCAUGGCUGUCGUCAGCUCGUGUUGUGAAAUGUUGGGUUAAGUCCCGCAACGAGCGCAACCCUUAUCCUUUGUUGCCAGCGGUUAGGCCGGGAACUCAAGGGAGACUGCCAGUGAUAAACUGGAGGAAGGUGGGGAUGACGUCAAGUCAUCAUGGCCCUUACGAGUAGGGCUACACACGUGCUACAAUGGCGCAUACAAAGAGAAGCGACCUCGCGAGAGCAAGCGGACCUCAUAAAGUGCGUCGUAGUCCGGAUUGGAGUCUGCAACUCGACUCCAUGAAGUCGGAAUCGCUAGUAAUCGUAGAUCAGAAUGCUGCGGUGAAUACGUUCCCGGGCCUUGUACACACCGCCCGUCACACCAUGGGAGUGGGUUGCAAAAGAAGUAGGUAGCUUAACCUUCGGGAGGGCGCUUACCACUUUGUGAUUCAUGACUGGGGUGAAGUCGUAACAAGGUAACCGUAGGGGAACCUGC
rnacentral:rRNA from 1 species